UUCAAUCGUCUCUGAGAUUCCUGUAACGUCUUCGUUUUUAUUAAAAUCGAUCUUUACUUCCAUCAUAAGUUUCAUCCCACCUCUCUUCCCACACAGUCUCAUUUACUCUCAUUAACGAGUGGCGUCCAGGCUCAGUGAAGAUAAUCGCCUCCGCCUAUAUAUUGGUAAGUUGAGUUCGAUGAACAUCCUCACCGCUACACAACCAGAAAGGAUCAACUCUGUCAACGAAAAACUGCAACAAUUGCGAUUAGCUUAUGAAUCAGAUUGAUGUGAUCUUGCUCUUGCUCGGAAGCUCCAAGAACAGGUUUGGAUUUCAGGAGCUGGCGUAUAUGAUGCUGAUUGUGAACAGUGAAGCCAGUGACUAUGAGAGCUAGGAAACUGAAAGCCAAGUAUACAAUGAGGUUGAAGAUGAAGACAUAUGAAACCGAGGAGAUCCUACAGAAGAUGCGCCAGAUUUGAUGCCCAUGAAGAUGAUAAAGAAGACACCGAAGAAGUUGUUUAUUCAGAUGAUGAAGCCAUGCUAGAGCUCUCUAGGGAGCUUAGGAAAGGGAAAUGGCAGAUAGACAUGUCCUUCUUAUCUAGGUAUUAAGUAUCCGGAGGAUGAGGAUACUUCUAAGACAGUGGUGAUCAGCGUAGCAUGGAGACUGAUUCCUGUGCGGAGUCACAUACAGAACUAUCAAGAUUCAUAUUCAAGUCAGAACGGUCGAGAAAGCAAGCGGCGGGGGUGGUUGUUCAAAGAAGAUAAACAAAAUAAUUUGCUUCAAGACGUAUCAGGACAAGCUUUUGGCGAGCAAUAGAGAUCACAUCUCACCUCAUGACCUUCGUGAUCCAACAACCCCAAGUAGAUCAUGAGAUGCUUACACUCGUCGAUAUCAAUCUCCCAGCUCAUAAUAAUGAGUGGAUCAGUCAUUAUUAUCAUUUCCUCUCUGUUUUUCAUAUCUUUGCUAUGUUCACGAAUAAUUUUGGGUCCAAAGAUAAAACUAAAGCCUUUUCCAUUAUU